UAAUACGAAGGGACCUAGCGUAGUUCGGAAUUACUGGGCUUAAAGAGUUCGUAGGUGGUUAAAAAAGUUGGUGGUGAAAUCCCAGAGCUUAACUCUGGAACUGCCAUCAAAACUUUUUAGCUAGAGUAUGAUAGAGGAAAGCAGAAUUUCUAGUGUAGAGGUGAAAUUCGUAGAUAUUAGAAAGAAUACCGAUUGCGAAGGCAGCUUUCUGGAUCAUUACUGACACUGAGGAACGAAAGCAUGGGUAGCGAAGAGGAUUAGAUACCCUCGUAGUCCAUGCCGUAAACGAUGUGUGUUAGAUGUUGGAAAUUUAUUUUCAGUAUCGCAGCGAAAGCGUUAAACACACCGCCUGGGGAGUACGACCGCAAGGUUAAAACUCAAAUGAAUUGACGGGGACCCGCACAAGUAGUGGAGCAUGUGGUUUAAUUCGAAGAUACGCGCAGAACCUUACCAACACUUGACAUGUUUGUCGCGACUUUAAGAGAUUAAAGUCUUCGGUUCGGCCGGACAAAACACAGGUGCUGCAUGGCUGUCGUCAGCUCGUGUCGUGAGAUGUUGGGUUAAGUCCCGCAACGAGCGCAACCCUCACUUUUAGUUGCCAUCAUUUAGUUGGGCACUCUGAAAGAACUGCCAGUGAUAAGCUGGAGGAAGGUGGGGAUGACGUCAAGUCCUCAUGGCCCUUACGUGUUGGGCUACACACGUGCUACAAUGGCAUUUACAAUAGGAUGCAAGACGGCGACGUCAAGCAAAUCCUAAAAAGAUGCCUCAGUUCGGAUUGUACUCUGCAACUCGAGUACAUGAAGCUGGAAUUACUAGUAAUCGCGGAUCAGCGCGCCGCGGUGAAUACGUUCCCGGGUCUUGUACACACCGCCCGUCACACCAUGGGAGUUGGUUCUACCUUAAGGCAAAGCUUAAAACCUUUGACCACGGUAUAGUCAGCGACUGGGGUGAAGUCGUAACCAAGGUAGCCG
rnacentral:rRNA from 1 species